rnacentral:rRNA from 1 species
AUUGAACGCUGGCGGCAUGCUUUACACAUGCCAGUCGAACGGUAACAGCACUUCGGUGGCUGACGAGUGGCGAACGGGUGAGUAAUACAUCGGAACGUGCCUAGUAGUGGGGGAUAACUACUCGAAAGAGUAGCUAAUACCGCAUGAGAUCUAAGGAUGAAAGCAGGGGACCUUCGGGCCUUGCGCUACUAGAGCGGCUGAUGGCAGAUUAGGUAGUUGGUGGGAUAAAAGCUUACCAAGCCGACGAUCUGUAGCUGGUCUGAGAGGACGACCAGCCACACUGGGACUGAGACACGGCCCAGACUCCUACGGGAGGCAGCAGUGGGGAAUUUUGGACAAUGGGCGCAAGCCUGAUCCAGCAAUGCCGCGUGCAGGAUGAAGGCCUUCGGGUUGUAAACUGCCUUUGUACGGAACGAAAAGCCCUCUUCUAAUACAGGAGGGUCAUGACGGUACCGUAAGAAUAAGCACCGGCUAACUACGUG